rnacentral:tRNA from 1 species
UGAUGUAGCUCAGUAGGUAGAGCGCAUCCUUGGUAAGGAUGAGGUCACCGGUUCAAAUCCGGUCAUCA